rnacentral:rRNA from 1 species
CGUACACUCCUGCGGGAGGCAGCAGUGGGGAAUUUUGGACAAUGGGCGAAAGCCUGAUCCAGCCAUGCCGCGUGCAGGAUGAAGGCCUUCGGGUUGUAAACUGCUUUUGUACGGAACGAAACGGCCUUUUCUAAUAAAGAGGGCUAAUGACGGUACCGUAAGAAUAAGCACCGGCUAACUACGUGCCAGCAGCCGCGGUAAUACGUAGGGUGCAAGCGUUAAUCGGAAUUACUGGGCGUAAAGCGUGCGCAGGCGGUUAUGUAAGACAGUUGUGAAAUCCCCGGGCUCAACCUGGGAACUGCAUCUGUGACUGCAUAGCUAGAGUACGGUAGAGGGGGAUGGAAUUCCGCGUGUAGCAGUGAAAUGCGUAGAUAUGCGGAGGAACACCGAUGGCGAAGGCAAUCCCCUGGACCUGUACUGACGCUCAUGCACGAAAGCGUGGGGAGCAAACAGGAUUAGAAACCCUGGUAGUCCCA